GAUGAACGCUGGCGGCGUGCCUAAUACAUGCAAGUCGAGCGAACAGACGAGGAGCUUGCUCCUUUGACGUUAGCGGCGGACGGGUGAGUAACACGUGGAUAACCUACUUAUAAGUCUGGGAUAACUUCGGGAAACCGGAGCUAAUACCGGAUAAUAUAUUGAACCGCAUGGUUCAAUAGUGAAAGACGGCUUUGCUGUCACUUAUAGAUGGUUCCGCGCCGCAUUAGCUAGUUGGUACGGUAACGGCUUACCAAGGCUACGAUGCGUAGCCGACCUGAGAGGGUGGUCGGCCACACUGGAACUGAGACACGGUCCAUACUCCUGCGGGAGGCAGCAGUAGGGAAUGUUCCGCAAUGGGCGAAAGCCUUACGGAGCAACGCCGCGUGAGUGAUGAAGGUCUUCGGUUCGGAAAGCUCUGUUAUUAGGGAAGAACAGAUGUGGAAGGAACUAUGGACGUCUUGACGGUACCUAAUCAGAAAGCAACGGCUAACUACGUG
rnacentral:rRNA from 1 species